rnacentral:rRNA from 1 species
GACGAACGCUGGCGGCGUGCUUAACACAUGCAAGUCGAACGGAAAGGCCCUGCUUUUGUGGGGUGCUCGAGUGGCGAACGGGUGAGUAACACGUGAGUAACCUGCCCUUGACUUUGGGAUAACUUCAGGAAACUGGGGCUAAUACCGGAUAGGAGCUCCUGCUGCAUGGUGGGGGUUGGAAAGUUUCGGCGGUUGGGGAUGGACUCGCGGCUUAUCAGCUUGUUGGUGGGGUAGUGGCUUACCAAGGCUUUGACGGGUAGCCGGCCUGAGAGGGUGACCGGCCACAUUGGGACUGAGAUACGGCCCAGACUCCUACGGGAGGCAGCAGUGGGGAAUAUUGCACAAUGGGCGGAAGCCUGAUGCAGCAACGCCGCGUGCGGGAUGACGGCCUUCGGAUUGUAAACCGCUUUAGCCUGUGACGAAGCGUGAGUGACGGUAAUGGGUAAAGAAGCACCGGCUAACUACGUG